rnacentral:rRNA from 1 species
CAGUAGCCACGGGAAUACAGAGGGUGCAAGCGUUAAUCGGAAUUACUGGGCGUAAAGCGCGCGUAGGUGGUUUGUUAAGUUGGAUGUGAAAUCCCCGGGCUCAACCUGGGAACUGCAUCCAAAACUGGCAAGCUAGAGUAUGGUAGAGGGUGGUGGAAUUUCCUGUGUAGCGGUGAAAUGCGUAGAUAUAGGAAGGAACACCAGUGGCGAAGGCGACCACCUGGACUGAUACUGACACUGAGGUGCGAAAGCGUGGGGAGCAAACAGGAUUAGAUACCCCUGUAGUCCCUGUCUCUUAUAA